rnacentral:rRNA from 1 species
CUACGUGCCAGCAGCCGCGGUAAUACGUAGGGUGCGAGCGUUAAUCGGAAUUACUGGGCGUAAAGCGAGCGCAGACGGUUACUUAAGCAGGAUGUGAAAUCCCCGGGCUCAACCUGGGAACUGCGUUCUGAACUGGGUGACUAGAGUGUGUCAGAGGGAGGUAGAAUUCCACGUGUAGCAGUGAAAUGCGUAGAGAUGUGGAGGAAUACCGAUGGCGAAGGCAGCCUCCUGGGAUAACACUGACGUUCAUGCUCGAAAGCGUGGGUAGCAAACAGGAUUAGAUACCCUGGUAGUCCACGCCCUAAACGAUGUCAAUUAGCUGUUGGGCAACUUGAUUGCUUAGUAGCGUAGCUAACGCGUGAAAUUGACCGCCUGGGGAGUACGGUCGCAAGAUUAAAACUCAAAGGAAUUGACGGGGACCCGCACAAGCGGUGGAUGAUGCGGAUUAAUUCGAUGCAACGCGAAGAACCUUACCUGGUCUUGACAU